rnacentral:rRNA from 1 species
UACGUAGGGUGCGAGCGUUAAUCGGAAUUACUGGGCGUAAAGCGUGCGCAGGCGGCUAUUUAAGCUUGCUGUGAAAGCCCCGGGCUUAACCUGGGAACUGCAGUGAGGACUGGAUGGCUGGAGUGUGGCAGAGGGGGGUGGAAUUCCACGUGUAGCAAUGAAAUGCGUAGAGAUGUGGAGGAACACCGAUGGCGAAGGCAGCCCCCUGGGCUAACACUGACGCUCAGGCACGAAAGCGUGGGGAGCAAACAGG